rnacentral:misc_RNA from 1 species
UGGGAACGGGUACAUGGGUCAGCCACAGCCAGUGCCUAUGUAUGAAUACGGGUAUGGGUUCGGACAGGGGCAAGUACCGGGUUACCCUGUGCACAUGAAGUUCAAUGAUGAGAACCCAAAUGCCUGCUCCGUCAUGUGAUGAUGGGAAUCUUAUCAAGUGUAAAUAGUUAGAAUAGAGGGAGCAGAAGGGGAAAAAGAGGAAAUUUUGGGUGGGGAUAUCAAUUAUCUACUUGGUUUAUGUGUUUUAAUCUUUGCUUUUUUAAUAUACUUAGUUUCCUUCGUAAUGUUUUGAUUUGUGGACAUGAAUAUUAAUUAAUUAAUUAUCUUCUGGUGGUAAUUAAGGGUUGUCAUGAUGUGUUCUCUACUUCUGGGGAGACAAUGUUGCCAGUGCUGAGGACUAUGUGCCUUAUGUUUUGUUCUAAGAGGAUAUAAACUUGUCCUCUAGGAUGGAAUUUGGUUUAUUGCCA